rnacentral:rRNA from 1 species
GAGGAAUAUUGGACAAUGGAGGCAACUCUGAUCCAGCCAUGCCGCGUGCAGGAAGACUGCCCUAUGGGUUGUAAACUGCUUUUAUACAGGAAGAAACACUCUCACGUGUGAGAGCUUGACGGUACUGUAAGAAUAAGGAUCGGCUAACUCCGUGCCAGCAGCCGCGGUAAUACGGAGGAUCCAAGCGUUAUCCGGAAUCAUUGGGUUUAAAGGGUCCGUAGGUGGAUAAUUAAAGUCAGAGGUGAAAUCCUGCAGCUCAACUGUAGAAUUGCCUUUGAUCUGGUUAUCUUGAGUUAUUAUGAAGUAGNUAGAAUAUGUAGUGUAGCCGGUGAAAUGCAUAGAUAUUACAUAGAAUACCAAUUGCGAAGGCAGAUUACUAAUAGUAUACUGGACCCUGGAUGGGACGAAAGCGUG